AUACCAUGCACAGUGUGCUCCAAUUGGUUGAACUUCUGUUCAAGUGAACAUGUUACACUCCUAAUAUGGUGUUUCUAGGAUGGGACGCUUUAUUUUCAUGUUUUUUUUAUGCUAAUGCUAUUCUAAUACCCAGCUGUAUGCAGCAGUAGUAGUAAGGCAUGCGCAGUGUGUAAAAAGACAACGGCGAAGAUUCAAAGUUUUUGUUCGGUUUCCCAUUGAUCAUCAUGUUUGGUUUUCACAAGUCUAAAAUAUAUCGCAGCCAUGAAGGAUGUUGCAUUUGCAAGACCAAGUCCUCCAGUUCACGCUUUACUGACAGCAGCAGAUAUGAAGAAACCUUCAGGCUAUGUUUUGGGUUGUCAGAGGAUCGUGUGGGAGACAUCUGCAAUGCCUGUGUGCUGUUAGUAAAAAGAUGGAAAAAAUUGCCAAAGGGCUCUAAGAAGAACUGGAACCAUGUUGUGGAUGCAAGAGCUGGGCCUGGCUUCAAACUAACCAAACCCAAGAAGAUGAAGAACAGUGAUGGGAAGAAGAAAAGCAAACUGAAGAGGCUUCACAAAUUCAAAAGACAAAACUCGGAUGCCCACAGCACGACCUCAAGCAUGUCUCCAUCCCAGUCCCCCAGCUACGAGUCAGAUGACGGCUCAGACAUUGAGUCCAAACAGAGGCGCCCCACUCCUUCUGUCUUUUCCUUCCUGGACCGUUCUUACUGGAAAAGGCAAAAGGUAUGCUGUGGGAUAGUAUACAAAGGGCGUUUUGGUGAGGUGAUGAUUGACCCACGUCUCUUCAAGCCGUGCUGCAGCUCCAAGAAGCAGGAGAAGUUGGUUCCCAUGCAGGACACGCACCUUCCCCUUCCCACCAUUCACCCCCCUGCCUCUCCCGCUACCAGAGGCCCUGAAAGAGGACUGGUGAUGGCUCUUGAGCACCCUCUUGGGGUGACCAUGGCACCCUACAAGUUGUCUCCAGUGGCAGACUACACCCCAAAACCAUUCCCUAUUAGUUCACUGUGCAUUUAGAUGGCUAAAGGAUUUUCCUAUUUUUGCUUUGAUAUGUGAAUUUGUUAUUUUUUUUAACAUAUAAUUCAUUUUCUUGUCUGUUUUUUUUUAAAGAAAACUAAAAAGAACCAAAAAAAAUGUUUUUAUAAAUGCAUUAGUUGUACUAUUUAUAGGAUGAGGCAGAAUUCUAUUUGUCCUUGAAGGGCACACUAUUCAGGUCUGAUUAAUUUGGUUUGCAACGUUUAAAGCUUAUUUUCUGUGUUACGGUUACCAGCAUUUGUGUGUAUAUAUAUAUAUGUUCUUUUUGCCAGCAUACAGACAUGUUUUUUAUUUUAUUUUUACAGCUGUCUAAUUGGCAAUGAAGUAUUCUUGUGCUGAUAUGCAAGACUCCACCAGCUAGAUUUCUAAAACCAGCUUGUUUGCAUUGAUGGAAUGAACAUUUUAAGUGUUUUCUUAUACUUGUGUUCCCCUGACACUCAAGCAGAUUUGAUUUAUAGCGUCUUAAUAUAUAAAGGGUUAUGGGCUAUGAGAGUUUAGGGGUCUUCAGUGAAUUUAUACAGUAUGAAUGGCCUUUUUAAAUGUAUACAUGCAUGUGUUUUCACACUCUUUCCCACACAUGCAUGGUUUGGCAAGCACUGAGUAGUAUUGUACAUUGUCAGAUGUGUAAACACUCCGUACCAUGAGCUUAUCCAUUGCUUUUCCAGCAAUUUCAUGCAAGUGAAUCACGAUAGAUUGAGUUCGACCAAGCAUGCAGAACUCAUCUUUGUCUUGGAAUGAAAACCAGCAGUUAUUUAUUUGUAGUCUUCCAUGAGCUGAAAAUGCACAUUUUUAUAACCAUAUGUUGAAGUGUUCUUGUAUAUACACUUGUUUGUGUUUUGGCUAUGAGAACUAUUUUAAAUUACAGGAUUGACAAUGCAUCUUUUAAACCACUAACUGUGUAUAGAUGUGGAAAUAUUUAGAUUGAGGCAUUCUUUUAUGGCAUCACUUGUAACUUAUUCAUUGGCCAGUAAGUGGCUAGCCUAAUCCCCAAGUUUGUUACAACACUUCAGGGGGGUUGUGUUCGGUAAGGCACAAUGCAGCAAAGCUUUUACAACCAAUUAUGAAAAUUAGCUAUGCUGUGUUGGACAACUUCUAGCAGUAACACAGUUUUGUGUCUGCUGAAUACCACCCAUAUCUUUGUCCUAUGAGAUGAGUUGAAGGCCAAAGCAAUACUUACACUACUCAUGUUCUGUGUUUGUUGGCAUCUUGUUAUUCUGUUAUUGAACGUGUAUUUUAUUUUACAGAAGCAAAUCAAAGCUGAGACUAUGCAGACAUUUUGAAUGUGAGAAAUUACCAAAAUGUUAAAGGAGCAAUGUUUGUAAGUCCAUCUCCGCCUCGUAGCAAAAUUGUUUUUUCAGCGUUUCAUUUUUUAAAAUUGAUAUUUCAUAAUUAUAAUUAGGUUUUGCCUCAAGCGACAACAUACGUUUCUGGUCAGUGGUCGAGUCAAACCAAUCAGAUGUGUACCUCUGUUAAAUAAUGCACCGUUUUGCAGUAAGUGGCAUGAGUUAUUAUCAGUUUGUUGUCAGACAUGCAGACAGGUAGCCUGAGUGCCAGUCUGUCAGUUCUGUCAUGCCAACAUCUUGUUACUCAUUGUCAUGCCAAACAUUGUAUGGCUUGACAAUGAUAUUAAUGGAGUUUGCAAGAGCACAAACAGAUCUGGCACCUGGCUAGUAGACAGGGUGUCCUGUUGUGCAAAGUUAUUUAUUUGCUGUAACUGAACUUCAUCACAGUAGAAUGGUUUGUGUCAAUAUGCUGUAUAACCUUGGUUUUCAAAACAGUUACUUUUGUGUGGCGGGUUAGUUGAGUUAAAUCUUUCUGUGAUUCUUAAAUGUCAUUAAAAGGAGAGCUGCUGCUUCCUUUUAUCAAGAUAGAAAUUAUAAACUGUUUUUGUAUAUAGGGAAAUGCCUAUUUUAUUGGCGUUUGCAUGGCACAUUUGAUCAUGUGUGCCUUAUAAGAAUGAACAUUCCUUUUACAUCAUGAAAUUCAAUCUGUAAUGUCAUUUAAUAUUUAUUUAUUUCAAAUCCAUUUGUAAAACUGAUGCUGUUAAUUGAACCGUUAGGACCUUCCAGUCAUUUUCAUUUUGUGCACUUCUUUCGAUUUAGUUUUUGUCUAUAUUUUUAUUCUGUAUCUCAACAACUACAUUAGUUCUGUCUUGUAAUAAAACAUAAAAUAUCA